rnacentral:rRNA from 1 species
GGCGGCGUGGAUUAGGCAUGCAAGUCGAACGGUAUGGACCUUUCGGGGUUCAGAGAGUGGCGAACGGUGAGUAACACGUAGGUAAUCUACCCUCAAGACGGGGACAACCCAGGGAAACUUGGGCUAAUACCGGAUGUGUGUAGUGGCUAUUUUCUGAUUAUCAUUAUUUACGUAAGUGAGUAAUAAUAAGAAGGGAAAGUGGUUAUUACAUAAAAGGUGGCGUAAGCUGCCGCUUGGGGAUGAGCCUGCGUCCUAUUAGUUAGUUGGUGAGGUAACGGCUUACCAAGGCGAUGAUAGGUAGGCGGCCUUAACGGGUGGUCGCCCACACUGGGAUUGAGAUACGGCCCAGACUCCUACGGGAGGCAGCAGUCGAGAAUAGUCUACAAUGGACGGAAGUCUGAUAGUGCGACGCCGCGUGAACGAAGAAUCCCUUCGGGGUGUAAAGUUCUUUUAUACGUGAGCAGUGUCCUUUAUAUUAAUAGUAUAAGGGGAGAGAUAUUAGCGUAUGAAUAAGCAACGGCUAACUCCGUG